CCUACGGGAGGCAGCAGUCGAGAAUCAUUCACAAUGGGGGAAACCCUGAUGGUGCGACGCCGCGUGGGGGAAUGAAGGUCUUCGGAUUGUAAACCCCUGUCAUGUGGGAGCAAAUUAAAAAGAUAGUACCACAAGAGGAAGAGACGGCUAACUCGGUGCCAGCAGCCGCGGUAAUACAGAGGUCUCAAGCGUUGUUCGGAAUCACUGGGCGUAAAGCGUGCGUAGGCGGUUUCGUAAGUCGUGUGUGAAAGGCGCGGGCUCAACCCGCGGACGGCACAUGAUACUGCGAGACUAGAGUAAGGGAGGGGGAACCGGAAUUCUCGGUGUAGCAGUGAAAUGCGUAGAUAUCGAGAGGAACACUCGUGGCGAAGGCGGGUUCCUGGACAUUAACUGACGCUGAGGCACGAAGGCCAGGGGAGCGAAAGGGAUUAGAUACCCGUGUAGUC
rnacentral:rRNA from 1 species